rnacentral:rRNA from 1 species
AUUGAACGCUGGCGGCAGGCCUAACACAUGCAAGUCGAACGAGUGGCGCACGGGAGUGUAAUGUCUGGGAAACUGCCUGAUGGUGGGGGUAAACUACUGGAAACGGUAGCUAAUACCGCAUACCAUCGGAUCUGCCCCGACGUGCUUAGCUAGUAGGUGGGGUAAUGGCUCACCUAGGCAACGAUCCCUAGCUGGUCUGAGAGGAUGACCAGCCGAACUGGAAGUGAGACGCGGUCCACACACCUAGGGGAGGCAGGAGUGGGGAAUAUUGCGAAAUUGGCGCAUGGCGGAUGUAGCCAUACGGCGUGUAUGAAGAGGGCCUUCGGGUUGUAGGGUAAGUUCAGCUGGGAGGCGUUACCCGCAGAAGAAGCACCGGCUAACUCCGUGCCAGCCGCCGCGGUAAUUC